UGAAGCUGUAACGAUAUUUUGUGGCGCCCUCCUAAUACACACUGCAAAAGACAAAAUCUUGAUAUUUAAAUGGAGAAAGGUAGAGGAAAGUGCCCAUUAUCCACCGAGUUCCAACCCAGCACCAUAGUCCCUUGGAGUUUGCUGGUUAUCAAAACAAGAAGAAGAAUGACAAUAAUAAAAUCUGUCAAAGACCUUUCAUGUAUUCUUCUAAGAGAACAAGUGUGUUUAAGAAUACUUGAUGGCUUUCUUUCUGCAGAUUAUUAAGCUACGCGAACACCAUUUGAACAAAGUUCAGUCUUUUUUGUGUUUGGUGGAUUUUCUUUCUUUGUUGAAACGUGGGAACGAUGCCUAAUACUUUAUUGAACUCUCACUCCUCUCUUAUGUAUUGGUUUUGAAGGAGGUGAUUGUCGGAUGAAACAUCAUUUUUCGUCUUGUUUGUUUUCUUUUCUCAAUGAAUAAUUUUCUUGAUAACCUCUUUGGUUUGGUGAACAUAACACAGUUCCUUAAGUGUAUGACAAUAGCUUUUAGAGAGAGACUCCGUACUUCUAGAACCAAAGAAACCUUAACCAACAAAUCCUACAAGGAAGUUUUGGCGUAUGAGCCAACAUUGAUCAUGAUUGGGAAUUGUGGAAAGUGGAUAUCGUGCAAAAACACAAAUUCAGGUUAUCUAGGGAACACAUUUGGAGAAGGACAGAGUUCCUUAAGAUGGUGUUUGAUUGGGAGGUUUGAAAAGAGUGUGGGAUCAUCUGGUAGGUAGCCUCUUCGCUAGUGAAAGCAUUACAUGUGUUGGGUAAGGGUUAGAAGGUGGCCUGAGAGAACACAUUCUGAAAAAUGAAGAAGUUACAAGGGGGUAGUGGUCGUAACAUCACCAGCUUAGCAACCCAUCUAUGGUGUAAUGAACUGAAGCAGAGCCACAAUGGUGGCUAUGGUUCAACAGAACCCAGUAGCAUUGGUCUGCCACAAUGGUGGCUAUGGUUCAGCAGAACCCAGUAGCAUUGGUUCAGACCUUGCAUUUGUGAUAAAUAAAUUCAUUUAAUAUAUACAAAUAAUCUAUCAAGAACCUAGUAAGAAAAAGUAAUUACGCUCUAGAAUUCAUAAACUAAAAAUCCUGGCUCCGCCUUUAGUAAUGAAUCUUAAAAAAGUGGGAAGUGUAUGUGGAUUUUUUGUUGAUGUGGAUCGUAACUUACCGGUUUUAACUAGCUAGGGUUAGGUUGUUUGUAAAAGAAGAGGAAAGGGUGGCACUGUCUAUAUAGCAACGGAGAGGGGAAAUGACGAGGAAGGAAGAGAAAGGGAGAUGGAAGAUGAGGAGAGAUAGUUUGUUCUCAGUUAAAUCAUACUGCUAGAAAUUAUUAGUAAGAGAAGAGUCAGAUUUUUUGAACUUAUAGGUUUGGGAUCCCCAGGGCGCCUACGAACGUGUGCUUCUUUGCUUGGUUGGCUGUAAGGAAACGAUAUUGAGAGUUGAGAACCUGAGGAAAAAGAGGAUCACUUAUUCACUCAUGUUGGCUGGUGCUUAUGAGUAAAUGUUCGAGAGAAUAUGGAGGUCACCUCCUUCUAUAUUUUCAGGUCGCAACACACUUGUCGGGUGGUCUCGGAUUCGUUUGAAUUACCAUGGGCGAUGCUAUGCACAGCGAAAGACGCAAUAUACAGUUGGACCUUUUGAAGAAGAAAAGAAGACACAUUGUAUUGAAUGUGCCCCUCUGGCCUUCGUGUGGAUUAUGAAUAUAUCAAGGCAGAGAACUAGGAGAACAUCUGAAAGAGUUUGAGAAUGAUAUUGUACAUUUGGAGGAGUAGCCUCUUGUCCGUAGCUUCUGUGGUGCACCAAUAAAGUCCUUGCUUGUAUAGAAGAUGAGGUAUCUCUUAAAAAGAAUUAUAUUUUUGUGUAAGUUCUAUACUUUUUGGUGGAGUGCUUCUAUAUGGGAGAAAAUUACUUUAUCUCAACCAAUUUGGUUACCCAUGAGUGAUACCUUGUCGGCAUUCUUACAAGCUCAAAUUUGGUAUUAGAUUGUGUUAUAACUAAUCUAUUAUUUUUGCUGGAACUUAAAGGUUUCAUUAUAUGGAUUUCUUAUUUAUUUGUUACAAUAGUAAUGAUGAAUCCCUGGUUUUAGUCAAGCAAGGAGCUGAGGCUGUAAGUUAAUAAAGAUUCAGGUGCCAUUUAACAUCCCUGCAAAUGCUUGUGAGAAGAAGCUUGAACAGAAUGUAAUUUGUGUAUUUGUAAAUAUGGUUUCCAGCAAUCUUUGCACUGAUGAAUAUACUGGUUACCUUUCUCAAAAAAAGAAGAAGGGCUUCCCUGCAAAUGUUUCUAGCAUCUCUCUCCUAUCUUAGUGCAGCGAGUUUGUGUUCCGGCGUGUCUUGAAACUUUAAAGAUUACAAACCAUCAUUUACUAGUCUCUCCAUCAAUUAGGCUUUUUCCUCGGUUGUUAGCAGAGAGUUUUUGCAUCAACUUUGUGGGUUGGAGGUCCAUCGUUUGCAAAGAAAUACAGGCAUCCAACUUUAUUUCUCAAAAAAGAUUAAAAAAAAAAGAAAGUACAGUCAUCCAACUGUGGAAUGAAAGCUUACUCUUAAACGCUUAAUUGGGUUGGUGGAAAUGAUGUCUCAGGGUUGUGUUGGAAAAUUUUGAAUAACGAAGAAGCAGGCCAGGGGCAUGACAAAAGCAAUACUCCAUUGCUUUGUGCUAUUGACGCUGCUACACAUCUCACCUUUGAGUAUAUUGAAGGUCCCUUCGUGAAAAUAUAUUACUUGAGAUUAUUGAAGAGAAGAUGGCAGAUAUUGAAACCCUUAUUGAUGAUACUAUUGGAAAACUACAUGAUGGUGGCCUUGUCGAUGUGGAUUUGACAACAUCAAUCAUGUUGAUGAGGAGUUUUGCCUCAGUGAGUAUUAUUCUGUAUAUAAGUGUCUCUUUUGAAAGUACAAGAGGGGGGUGAAUUUUAAGCCUGUUAAAAAAUCUAGUCGACUACUGUUUGGUGCCAGUCGACUCAUAGCGAGACAACCUGCACAAAAUUAUCAGUCCUUCGAUUUGCACAAGUAUAAACCACAAUAAAUAGUAAGGGUGCAGAAUAUAAUAUGAGAGCAAUAAAUAAAUGACACCAGGAAUUUUUAUAUUGGUUCGGAACCAAUGUGGUAUCCUAAUCCAGUCCCCUUGGGUUGCAAGGAGGUUAUCUCUUUAAGUUCUUUGUAGUUUGAGUUGAGUACAGCCUUUGUGAUUUUCCUCGUUCACCACCAACGUUUACAAGGUUAGUUUUCACUCGCUCACCAACAACGAACAAGGUUUGGUUUUGACACGCUCACCAACAACGUACAAAGUUAGUUUUUCACUCGCUCACCAACAACGACUCUUUGGUUUUCACUCGCUCACCAAAUAAACGAACAAUAACACAACCUCUCAAUACAAAGCCUCCAACUAUACUAUAUCUCUCCUCUUUUUUUUUUUGUUUACACAGUAAGUCACUCAGGAUUACAAUGCUUAUGAAAAGUAGAGCAAAGAACUUGAGAAGGUUGAGACGAAAGUAUAAGUGGCUGCGUACUUUUCUUCUUUUAAGAGCUCGUAUUUAUAGCCUUUCAACUUGCUCUGGCUAUUGCAUAACCCAAGGGAAUUUCACAGGUUGUUCCUCAAUCUUUUUUAUGAUUACUUGUUGAUUGCUUCCUUAAAUCUUGGAGUGAUAUCUUCUCCUUGAUUCCUUGACCGAGUAGAGCUUCCCAAUAUUCAUUGUAUAAUUUCAUUGGAAGUCUUUCCUUGUUGUUGCAGAUUUUUGGUACUUGAGAUAUUAAAGAUCCUUCCUUCCAAUUCUUUAAUGAAUUGAGCAGAAGUAAUUUUCCUUGUAGGGCAUUGUAAUUAAAAUCAAUUCCUUAAUUACCUUGAUCCCUUCCUUCAUGCUAAAUCUUGAUUUAUUCUCUUUCUUUGAAUAUGGCUUGAUAUAUUUAAUUACUGCUGCAUCUUUGUGUGCUUUCCUUCCUUCACAUUUAGCCGUAAAGUAUAUUACUCAGCACCCCAUAUUUUCAUAACUCUUGCUACGUUCCUCAAAUCAAAUGCUUCCCAAAAUAGGCUGUAGUGGAAAUAUUCUUUCUUCCAUAAUAAGCAAAUCAUCUUAUUUUGUAGUAAAUAUUUCCUUCCCCAAUUCUUCUUGAACUUGGAUCUUGAUCACUCUGAAUGUAGACUCUUUUAUGAACUUGAGACUUCUUGCAUAUCUUGAUGCUCCAUAAAUUUUGAGUCUUCUUUAAGUAACAAAUUGGUCUUGAUCUUUUCCUAAAGCAUCGAGAACCAAUUAAUUCCUUUCUUUAUUGGCAUUGCAUUUGAGACCCUCUAAUAUUCUGAAUCCCUUAGGACAUGGUCUUUCUUUGUAAAUGUCCUCGUAGGAUAAUUUCCAGCAAAUAGUCUCAACCCCUUUUUUCUUGAUUUCAUAGACUUUCCAACCUCUAGAUUGUAGUGUAGCCAUAGAGAUAUUUUCCUUCCAUAAAAUUAAUAUUGUAAUAAAUCUUCACUGUAGUAAAUAUCCUUUUCGUGAUUCUUGUAACUUGAUUUGGGAACGAUUUAUACAAUAGAAAAGACCCUCUAAAGAGUCUUAUCUCAAUCAUAAUAGCUAAAAUAGUGGCAAAAAUGAAUCGAGCGGGCAGCAAGAAUUAGAAUCAACCUAUAUAACAUCUCUUCCCAUGUAGUCGGCAUUCUAGAAGCAAAGCUUCCCGGUCGCCCAUAUCUUCUCCCGUAAUUCCAUCUCGUAAUAUCUUCUUCUUCAUAUUUAUUUAGAUCUUCACCAAAUCUUUAAUCAUCAAAUAAACCUGUACAAAAAUAAAUUUACCACAAGUAAAUGUUCUUUUAUUAAAUAAUUGUGUUGGUUUGUUAUCAUCAAAAUUAGUAGGUGAAACCUUAGACCUAACAUCUUUAAUUCUCAUGAUUGUCUUUUUGUUCAACGAAUGCUUUUUCUGCUGUUUGUAUAGGCUGAUGUUCUGCAUUUACCUUAAGUGAAAUUAGUUACUACCAAAUGUGUUUAUGUUUCCAGGUACUGAUCAAAUUUGGUCUAAGCAUUACUUCAACACUUCCAGAUGAUAAUGCAGUAGAUCUAUAUGUCCUGGAACUGCUUUACUCUCUAUUCACUCUUCUUGCGAAAUCUGAUGAGCUCAGUCUUAUCACCUAUGUUAUGUGUUCUGGACAUGUUCUAGAAUGAACAUCUCCUCAAGCAUUGUCUUCUGCUGUGAUGUGUACUUAAUGGUGAUACGUAAUAUCUACAUUAGAUGAUAAUCUAUUUCAGGGAAAGAGAAUAUUAAACUUUAGUAACCUUUUCAAAUAAAAUUUUCCUUUAUUCCAAGUAUUAAUGUCAUUCAAGCCAUAUAAUUCUAGGAACAUGCAGUUCUUCCAUCUAAGCAGUAUUUUUCUAGUGGUAUUAACAAUUUUCUACUUCUCUAAUAGUGCUCUUUUCUGGAAUAUGCUUGUGAUGAGUGUUUUUCUGAUAUUAGUCUAAGCCUUCUUAAGGAUUAAGGUGCGGUUAAUAAGGAUCUAAAACUUAAUUUUCAUCGCGAUUGAGUAUACAGCUUCUGCUUGCAACGACAUUCCACACUGGUGUAUUGCAACUGUGUUAUACAAUCCUCUAAUCUCUUCAUUUUUGGCAACAAACAUAUAGACAGCAGUUUUAGUUUUAGUCUUUACUUGCUUGUUUAAUGGUAAGCAGAUGGACCAGAUAGUUGUUUUAUACAAGAAAUCCUCAAAGCAGUGGUCGUCAACGUUCGAGAUGCAAGCCCAAGGAAAAGCCUCUGUUCGAAUAUGUCCCUUUCUAUUUACUACCUCGUUUUCCGCAGAAAAAUAAAUGGUGUCAAAUACCAAAUAUAUCUUAUUGUGUUUCUGCUUUGGGUUUUGUGAUAUUUCAGCGAGGCUAAGAGAUAGAAACCGUAAUAUGAUUUGUUAGCUUCCCCAGUUAGAAUUGAAUUUUGUUCUCGAUGUGCAUCCAUUACCUUCUUCUUUUUUCAUCAAAAUAAAAAAUUAUACUUGUAUGUUCCCUCGAAAGAGUAAGCGCCUUGUCUUUCACUACAACUUCUCAAUUGCAGAUGCCCUUAUAAUCUUAUAUGAUUAAAUCCUCAAAGCAGUUCUUUCUAUCAAUUAGAGAGGGAUGGUACUAUUUAUCCUGUCCUUUUCUUAUUUCAUGGAUUCUAGUACAACUGCGUUCUUGCACCUCUUUGUUCCCCUUCGAAGUAUUAUUCAAUAGGGUACUUGGAGAUCUUCAGAUGUACUUAAUUCAGGGUCAUCAUCUCUAAGGCAUAGCAAAUCUAAGAUAGCCUUUUCACAAAUAACAGACCAUAGUCCUGUACAGAGAUUAAAGGAAGUUACAUUUCUAUGCUGUGGGAAUUUAUUUAUUUUCGGUUGUGGAGACCACGGCUUAGCAGAACAUUUGGCCACAACUGGAGCGGACAAUGUUUUUGUGUAUGCUUGUAAACUUGCCCUGUUUGAACUUUUCUUCACACAAUUAUCCUGUUUUUGCAUUUUUACAGUACAAUUGAUCAUUAAGAGUACCUUAAUUUUUCAUGAAUAGGUUUCUAAUUGCUUUACAUUGAAUAUCAACUUAGGGGCAGGAGAAACAGAAUGCUUGUAGCACUGACAAACGUGUGUUUGUUGCAAAGUUGAGGUUUUUAUUGUGGUUCUAACUCGUUUAGAAUUGCCCAGAAUCACUAUCAUUUUCUGUUCCUUGUGUAGUGAUCAGAAUUUCUUUUGGUUGGUAGCAUAUUUACAUUUUAUGAACCCAAGAGUCAGUACAUAAUAAAACAUGACAUUUUCCAGGCCAUGUGACUGCAUGUGAAGCGGUACAAUUGAACAACAACUGUGGUCCUUAUAGUGAAAGUAAAUGCUCUGCUAAGUGCUAUGGUAUAUGAUUAUACUUCCAAAACAUAGGUGCACAAAACUUAUACUUUUAAUUUAAAGAGAUUUUUUCAUUUUUGGCCCGUCGUCCGAAAUUAAUUGCGGGCACCAGCCAACAUAUACAAAGAUAUACACUGAUUAUGUAAAUAGUAUGUAUAUUUAUACUUAUUAUACAAAAUGUAUAUUAUGUAUAUUAUAUGUAUAUUUAUACUUGUUAUGCAAAACAUAUACAUUUGUUGGCUAUUAUUUUUUAGAGCAGUUCAAAAAGGUAAUUAUCCCUAAUUUAAAUGCCAUUUAAGAAGGUAAAAAAAAUUCUCACCAAAGAUUCAUUUUUCUUCAUUCAAUCUUGCACUUAUUUUUGUUUGCAGAUCAAUUACAGGAAAGGAAAAGAGCUCAUUCUUGAUAUACUUUUCUAUUUUUAUUUCUAAUUUCCCCUAUCAAACGUUUGAAUUCUUUUGCAACUCUCUCAAAUGUGCUGUACUGCAUGCAUAUUGUCAGGUUUCUUUGGAUUUGGUGUUCGAAUAUACAGGAAAUCACAAAAAAAAAAAAAAAAAAAAAAAAGAAGAAGAAGAAGAAGAAGAAGAAGAAGAAGCCAAAGAAGUUGGAUUUUCUGCUUGUCCUAUAUUGUUUGAUCUGACUCCGUGGGGUAACACAGUAUUCUGACAGUUGUUUGGCAAUCGCCAUCUACCCUUUAAUCUUUAUGUGUUUUGAGUUAGGAGUUCGAGCUGUAUCUAUUUGAUUAUUUACUCUUUAAAACUUUGAGUAAAAAUCAUAUAAUGACUUUGAUUGGUCAAUACAUUUUGUGAGAUUUCAAUUCUCCAUUUUAAAUAACUAUCUAGGGGUUUUACCCAAUGGUACUAGCACCACCUGACCAAGUAAAAAAGAAUGGUACUUCCUGUUUACAAGCUUGAUGUAUAUGUUUUACACCAUUUGUAAUCUUUCAGCUGCAUCUCUGCUGAAAUUUACCUUGAUGUAAUAUUUACCCAAUUUUCUUUUC